rnacentral:rRNA from 1 species
GGGUUGUGAGGUUAAGCGACUAAGCGUACACGGUGGAUGCCCUGGCAGUCAGAGGCGAUGAAGGGCGUGCUAAUCUGCGAUAAGCGCCGGUAAGGUGAUAUGAACCGUUAUAACCGGCGAUACCCGAAUGGGGAAACCCAGUGUGACUCGUCACACUAUCAUUAACUGAAUCCAUAGGUUAAUGAGGCGAACCGGGGGAACUGAAACAUCUAAGUACCCCGAGGAAAAGAAAUCAACCGAGAUUCCCCCAGUAGCGGCGAGCGAACGGGGAGGAGCCCAGAGCCUGAAUCAGCAUGUGUGUUAGUGGAAGCGUCUGGAAAGGCGCGCGAUACAGGGUGACAGCCCCGUACACAAAAGCGCAUGUGCUGUGAGCUCGAUGAGUAGGGCGGGACACGUGGUAUCCUGUCUGAAUAUGGGGGACCAUCCUCCAAGGCUAAAUACUCCUGACUGACCGAUAGUGAACCAGUACCGUGAGGGAAAGGCGAAAAGAACCCCGGCGAGGGGAGUGAAAAAGAACCUGAAACCGUGUACGUACAAGCAGUGGGAGCACCCUUUGGGUGUGACUGCGUACCUUUUGUAUAAUGGGUCAGCGACUUAUAUUCUGUAGCAAGGUUAACCGAAUAGGGGAGCCGGAGGGAAACCGAGUCUUAACCGGGCGUUAAGUUGCAGGGUAUAGACCCGAAACCCGGUGAUCUAGCCAUGGGCAGGUUGAAGGUUGGGUAACACUAACUGGAGGACCGAACCGACUAAUGUUGAAAAAUUAGCGGAUGACCUGUGGCUGGGGGUGAAAGGCCAAUCAAACCGGGAGAUAGCUGGUUCUCCCCGAAAGCUAUUUAGGUAGCGCCUCGUGAAUUCAUCUCCGGGGGUAGAGCACUGUUUCGGCUAGGGGGCCAUCCCGGCUUACCAACCCGAUGCAAACUGCGAAUACCGGAGAAUGUUAUCACGGGAGACACACGGCGGGUGCUAACGUCCGUCGUGAAGAGGGAAACAACCCAGACCGCCAGCUAAGGUCCCAAAGUCAUGGUUAAGUGGGAAACGAUGUGGGAAGGCCCAGACAGCCAGGAUGUUGGCUUAGAAGCAGCCAUCAUUUAAAGAAAGCGUAAUAGCUCACUGGUCGAGUCGGCCUGCGCGGAAGAUGUAACGGGGCUAAACCAUGCACCGAAGCUGCGGCAGCGACACUGUGUGUUGUUGGGUAGGGGAGCGUUCUGUAAGCCUGCGAAGGUGGCCUGUGAGGGUUGCUGGAGGUAUCAGAAGUGCGAAUGCUGACAUAAGUAACGAUAAAGCGGGUGAAAAGCCCGCUCGCCGGAAGACCAAGGGUUCCUGUCCAACGUUAAUCGGGGCAGGGUGAGUCGACCCCUAAGGCGAGGCCGAAAGGCGUAGUCGAUGGGAAACGGGUUAAUAUUCCCGUACUUGGUGUUACUGCGAAGGGGGGACGGAGAAGGCUAUGUUGGCCGGGCGACGGUUGUCCCGGUUUAAGCGUGUAGGUGUGUGUUCCAGGUAAAUCCGGUUCACUUUAACACUGAGGCGUGACGACGAGGCACUACGGUGCUGAAGCAACAAAUGCCCUGCUUCCAGGAAAAGCCUCUAAGCAUCAGGUAACAUCAAAUCGUACCCCAAACCGACACAGGUGGUCAGGUAGAGAAUACCAAGGCGCUUGAGAGAACUCGGGUGAAGGAACUAGGCAAAAUGGUGCCGUAACUUCGGGAGAAGGCACGCUGACACGUAGGUGAAGUGAUUUACUCAUGGAGCUGAAGUCAGUCGAAGAUACCAGCUGGCUGCAACUGUUUAUUAAAAACACAGCACUGUGCAAACACGAAAGUGGACGUAUACGGUGUGACGCCUGCCCGGUGCCGGAAGGUUAAUUGAUGGGGUCAGCGCAAGCGAAGCUCCUGAUCGAAGCCCCGGUAAACGGCGGCCGUAACUAUAACGGUCCUAAGGUAGCGAAAUUCCUUGUCGGGUAAGUUCCGACCUGCACGAAUGGCGUAAUGAUGGCCAGGCUGUCUCCACCCGAGACUCAGUGAAAUUGAACUCGCUGUGAAGAUGCAGUGUACCCGCGGCAAGACGGAAAGACCCCGUGAACCUUUACUAUAGCUUGACACUGAACAUUGAGCCUUGAUGUGUAGGAUAGGUGGGAGGCUUUGAAGUGUGGACGCCAGUCUGCAUGGAGCCGACCUUGAAAUACCACCCUUUAAUGUUUGAUGUUCUAACGUGGACCCGUUACCCGGGUUGCGGACAGUGUCUGGUGGGUAGUUUGACUGGGGCGGUCUCCUCCUAAAGAGUAACGGAGGAGCACGAAGGUUGGCUAAUCCUGGUCGGACAUCAGGAGGUUAGUGCAAUGGCAUAAGCCAGCUUGACUGCGAGCGUGACGGCGCGAGCAGGUGCGAAAGCAGGUCAUAGUGAUCCGGUGGUUCUGAAUGGAAGGGCCAUCGCUCAACGGAUAAAAGGUACUCCGGGGAUAACAGGCUGAUACCGCCCAAGAGUUCAUAUCGACGGCGGUGUUUGGCACCUCGAUGUCGGCUCAUCACAUCCUGGGGCUGAAGUAGGUCCCAAGGGUAUGGCUGUUCGCCAUUUAAAGUGGUACGCGAGCUGGGUUUAGAACGUCGUGAGACAGUUCGGUCCCUAUCUGCCGUGGGCGCUGGAGAACUGAGGGGGGCUGCUCCUAGUACGAGAGGACCGGAGUGGACGCAUCACUGGUGUUCGGGUUGUCAUGCCAAUGGCACUGCCCGGUAGCUAAAUGCGGAAGAGAUAAGUGCUGAAAGCAUCUAAGCACGAAACUUGCCCCGAGAUGAGUUCUCCCUGAGACUUAAAGUCUCCUGAAGGAACGUUGAAGACGACGACGUUGAUAGGCCGGGUGUGUAAGCGCAGCGAUGCGUUGAGCUAACCGGUACUAAUGAACCGUGAGGCUUAACCUUACAACGCCGAAG